rnacentral:rRNA from 1 species
UACGUAGGGUGCGAGCGUUGUCCGGAAUUAUUGGGCGUAAAGAGCUUGUAGGCGGUUUGUCGCGUCUGCUGUGAAAAUCCGGGGCUCAACCCCGGACUUGCAGUGGGUACGGGCAGACUAGAGUGUGGUAGGGGAGACUGGAAUUCCUGGUGUAGCGGUGGAAUGCGCAGAUAUCAGGAGGAACACCGAUGGCGAAGGCAGGUCUCUGGGCCGUAACUGACGCUGAGGAGCGAAAGCGUGGGGAGCGAACAGG